rnacentral:rRNA from 1 species
AACGAACGCUGGCGGCAUGCCUAACACAUGCAAGUCGAACGAGACCUUCGGGUCUAGUGGCGCACGGGUGCGUAACGCGUGGGAACCUGCCCUUAGGUUCGGAAUAACUCCCCGAAAGGGGUGCUAAUACCGGAUAAUGUCUUCGGACCAAAGAUUUAUCGCCUUUGGAUGGGCCCGCGUUGGAUUAGCUAGUUGGUAGGGUAAAAGCCUACCAAGGCGACGAUCCAUAGCUGGUCUGAGAGGAUGAUCAGCCACACUGGGACUGAGACACGGCCCAGACUCCUACGGGAGGCAGCAGUAGGGAAUAUUGGACAAUGGGCGAAAGCCUGAUCCAGCAAUGCCGCGUGAGUGAUGAAGGCCUUAGGGUUGCAAAGCUCUUUUACCCGGGAUGAUAAUGACAGUACCGGGAGAAUAAGCUCCGGCUAACUCCGUG